rnacentral:rRNA from 1 species
AACGAACGCUGGCGGCAUGCCUAACACAUGCAAGUCGAACGGGAUCCUGGCUUCGGCCAGGUGAGAGUGGCGGACGGGUGAGUAACGCGUGGGAACCUGCCCAUUGGUCUGGGAUAACUGCGGGAAACUGCAGCUAAUACCGGAUGUACCCGAGAGGGGAAAGAUUUAUCGCCGAUGGAGGGGCCCGCGUCAGAUUAGGUAGUUGGUGAGGUAACGGCUCACCAAGCCUACGAUCUGUAGCUGGUCUGAGAGGAUGAUCAGCCACACUGGGACUGAGAUACGGCCCAGACUCCUACGGGAGGCAGCAGUGGGGAAUAUUGGACAAUGGGGGCAACCCUGAUCCAGCAAUGCCGCGUGAGUGAUGAAGGCCUUAGGGUUGUAAAGCUCUUUUACCAGGGACGAUGAUGACGGUACCUGGAGAAUAAGCCCCGGCUAACUCCGUGCCAGCAGCCGCGGUAAU